GAAUGACAAGAGAGAAAGAAAUCUACCAACUCAAGGAAAUGAAAGGAAGCUUGAGUCUGUUUCCUGAGAAGCCUUCCAAGAAACUGAAACUGUCUUUCACCUUGCACAGAUCUGAGGGUUGAACUGAUACCACCUGAAUGGUCCAGAAACCCCCAAGGCCCUGACGCCUCUAGGUAAAAUCCUGCUGCUCACUUGUCCUGCUCGAGGGAGACAGAGGUCAAGAGUAGCUGUGGAGUUCCACUUGGGGUCACCGCUGCACUGAGGUACAGCCCUUCAGAGAGUUCUAAUCGAGGUGGCUCCACCUUGCCUUUGCACCAAUCACCGAGAGGAAAAGGGACCCUCCGGCUGUCAGUAGGACCUUGCUCUCUGGCCAGGCUGAUAUCAGCCGCUGCGUAGAUGGGAUGACCCAGGAAGAUGUUCUCUUUCGCUUCUUACAGUGUGCUCAUAGGCUCCACGCACAGCUUUUCACACAUCCUUGGACGAGAUCCAGUCUUUUUACUCAAUACACAGGUUUGUACACGUAUAAUCAUUUCCAGGAUACCCACAUGCUACACAGAAUUGAAAGAUGCCCAGUUUUUCUAUUAAAAAAAUGAAGUUAUAAUUUUCUAGUGCAGAGUGAC